UAGCGCGGUGGUCCCACCUGACCCAUGCCGAACUCAGAAGUGAAACGCCGUAGCGCCGAUGGUAGUGUGGGGUCUCCCCAUGCGAGAGUAGGGAACUGCCAGGC
rnacentral:rRNA from 1 species